UUUUGUUUGUUUAUGUUCAGCAUGGUUGUGGAACAAUGAUGGUGACAUGCCAAUUUACAUCGUUUAAUAUGCAGACAGCCCUUUAUUUGGUUGGGGACUUGGUGUUGGAAUCAUGUACAUGAUGUCUACUGGGAAAGCUGAGAUUAGUAAGCUAAGCACUUCCAUGGAGGUGAUGUCAAAAGUUAUUCAUGAAUUAAGAACUGAACUCUAUAAAAGAAAAUCAGCACAUGUUGCUACAAGCUCGAAAGAUAAUAGUACUGAAAAAAUGCAACUAGUGGUUAAUAGAAAAAAACAUGGUGGAUAGAGAAUCUAGUGAUAUGAAAAUGUGUGGGCUUCCUAUUGCUGAUGAUGUUGAAUACCCGAGUAGUGUUCUCACUGAAGAGCCAGAGCCAGAGCCAGAGCCAGAGCCAGAGCCAGAGCCAGAAGUGCUUGAAAUGGAUCAACUGGAAGCACGGCUCGAGUCUGAACUCUGCAAAAACUUCCCUGGUCCGGCACUGAAGCUUCUGGACAUGAAGUAACAUGGCUAAAUUUGGGCAAGGUGAGUCCUUCAAGUACCCACUUUGAUCCUUUCUUAAAUUUACCCAAUGCUUGACUGUGUUCCUCGUUAGCAUUCUGAACCUACCUUCGAGACUUGAGAUAGAUUUGUGUAAAUUUGAUAUGAAUCACACGUGGAGUACAAGUUGAAUCACACCUGGAGCUACAUGUGAAGUGGACCAAGUCAGGUCAGGAGGAUUAUUUCAGUAAUUGUGAGUAAGGUGUCUGUUGCACUAGAAUCGGUCAAAUAAAUAAAAGGCUGUUAGUGGGUGCUCCAUGUCUUCAGAGCUAUUCUGUUAGGAGCCAAUCUGUUAGGAUUUCCUGUUUUAUUGCUAUUUUCGUGCUUUGUCAGUUGUAAUGUUGCUGGCCUAUUUAGGCAGCAAAGAAGAGGAAUAAGAGAAUCAAUCAAGCAUUUAAACAUUCUUUCCACUCUGUUAUUCUUCUUCUUCUUGUCUUACCAAAUUAAUUCUAUCAGUGGUAUUAGAGCCUUUGUUUUCGAUUCAUGGAUACACGUUCGAAAUCAAAUGCAGAAUUCCGAACUGAAGUCACCGACAUCUUAACCCGUCAGAGUCCAGCUUUGAUGAGACAAAACAAGACGUCAAUGCGAUGAAACACGACUUGAAUGAAAUAAAACAAAAUUUUUCCCAGGUUACGUCAACAUUACAGGGUGUCAUGGCUGAACUACAAGCCUUUCGACUUAGCCGCCAAGAUACUUCCAAAGACAGGGAAGGCAAUUUCUUUGAAAGAGGAGAGACGUCUGGCAGCAGUCCUACCACCAUCACACGACCAGGUUUCGAAUGAUAUCCGAAUGCUUGUGACAGAAUUCAGAAUCAGGCACCUGACAGAAUUCACCAUCAGACUCAACUCAAAUUGAAUUUUCCGAUAUAUCGUGGUGAUGAAGAUCCUACCGGGUGGAUUUUUAAGGCAGAACAAUAUUUCGAGUUCAAAGGAAUCGAACUCACGCAGCAAGUGCAAUUGGCGUCAUUCCAUCUUGAAAAGCUUGCCUUACAAUGGUAUCGCUGGUUCACAAGGGAUUGAGGUCCAAUGAAUUGGGCGGAAUUCACCAAAGUUAUUCUUAAACGCUUUGGACCUACAGACUACGAUGAUCCGUCAGAAGCUUUGUCUAGGCUCAAGCAAACUACCAGCGUUAUAGCCUACCAAGAAGUCUUCGAGCGACUCUCACAUAAGGUGGACGGGCUGCCUGAGAAUUUUUUAAUCGGUUCUUUUAUUGCAGGUUUAAAGGAUGACAUCCGGAUAGAUGUACGAGUCAAACAACCGAAAACUCUCUCAGAAACCAUCAGUGUAGCCCAUCUCAUUGAAGAAAGGAAUCUGUUGCAGCGGAAGCCCAGCUCCAAUUUUCGUUCGGCAAUGCCAAACUACAAUCAUAGGGCACAACCAACAACAACAGUGGGUCUUCUGGGACCACCUCCAAUGCAACCUGCCACCCAACCAACCGGAAACAAGUUUCCAGGUCCUAUUCGACGCAUCACCAGUCAGGAAGCCAAGGAGAGACGAGAGAAGGGGUUAUGUUUCUAUUGUGAUGACAAAUUCGCUCCUGGAAACAGGUGCAUCAGGCCACAAUUGUUCAUGAUGGAAGACAUACUCUUUGAAGAUUGUCCAGCCGAUGUAGACAUGGACAUUGAGAAUAAUGGAGAAGAGGCCAUUCCAGAAAUUUCUUUCCAUGCUCUGGCCGGAACAAAUCACCCUCAAACCUUUCGGGUGAUUGGAAAAGUAGGAAACAAAGAGGUCACGGUCCUAAUUGAUGGAGGAAGUACUCAUAACUUCAUCGAUCAAGCGGUUGUCACCAAACUGGCGUUACCAGUAAUCCGUGACAAGGUGUUUCGGGUAACUGUUGGAAACAAAGAAAUCAUUGAGUGUACCGGGCGCUGUAUGGGGCUUCUACUCACUAUCCAGGGGUUGCUAAUUCGAGCUGAUUUUUAUGUGUUGCCCGUUGCUGCAUGUCAAGCCGUUUUGGGAGUGCAAUGGCUGGAAACAUUGGGUCCGAUUGAGACAGAUUACAAACAACUUAGCAUGUCCUUCUGUCAUGCAGGGAAGUCACACACCAUUCUAGGAUUACACCGGUCUGAAUUAGCUCCCAUGACAGAAAAGGAGUUGCUGUACCACUCAGGCCCCAGAUUUUUUAUUCAUAUGAUAUCAACAACAGCCCCGCUGGAACCACCCACGCACAUUCCAGUUGACCUGCAGCGGUUGUUAACAGAGUUCGAUCAUUUGUUCAAGGAGCCAUCCGGGUUGCCGUCAGUACGAAGUCAUGAUCACCAUAUUUCUUUACUUCCAAAUCAGCCACCGGUCAGCACGCGGCCCUAUCGAUACCCCCAUUAUCAGAAAAAUGAGAUAGAAAAAUUGGUGAGUGAAUUCCUUGAAUCCGGCAUCAUCCGUCCUAGCAGGAGUCCAUUUUCGUCACCAGUUCUGUUGAUAAAAAAAUCUGAUGGCUCGUGGCGGUUUUGCGUGGAUUAUCGUGCUCUCAACGACAUCACAAUUAAAGAUAAGUUUCCAAUUCCAGUUAUUGACGAGUUAUUGGAUGAAUUGCAAGGUGCAAAAUAUUUUUCGAAGUUAGAUUUGAGGUCUGGCUAUCAUCAAAUAAGGGUUUGUGACGACGACAUCUCCAAAACUGCCUUCCGCACUCAUGACGGUCAUUACGAGUUCCUUGUGAUGCCUUUCGGUUUGACUAACGCUCCCGCAACAUUCCAGAACUUAAUGAAUGACAUUUUUCGACCUCAUUUACGGAGGUUUGUCUUGGUUUUUUUUGAUGAUAUUCUAGUGUACAGCAAGUCUUGGGACGAGCAUUUACAACAUCUUAAAGUGGUCCUCCAACUUCUAACCACUCAUCAGUUGUUUGUCAAAGCAUCCAAGUGCCAAUUUGGGGUUUUAAUGGUUGACUACUUAGGCCACCGAAUUUCAUGGGAGGGGGUUGCGGUAGACCCCAAUAAAAUCAAUUCAGUCCAACAAUGGCCUGUGCCGACUUCAGCAAAAGGGGUUCGCGGAUUCCUCGGUUUGGCAGGAUACUACAGGAAAUUCGUUCGUGAUUUUGGUUCAAUUGCUGCACCUCUAACACAGCUCUUAACCAAGGAUGGGUUUCGGUGGACAACUGAAUCUCAGGAAGCAUUUUUGAAAUUGAAGACAACGCUUAUUACUCCUCCGGUUUUGCGACUUCCAGAUUUUGAGCAGCCCUUUGUUGUCGAAUGUGAUGCAAGCGGGACAGGUCUUGGGGCUAUAUUGUCACAAAAUGAUCAACCAAUUGCGUUCUUUAGUGAAGCCUUGAAAGGGUCGGCAAAGGCACUCUCAACUUACGAUAAGGAAAUGUUGGCAGUGGUGAAAGCUGUGCGCAAGUGGCGACCGUAUUUGUUGGGCAAGCCGUUCGUCAUCAAAACCGAUCAUCAAAGUUUAAAAUACUUACUGGAGCAACGUAUUUCUACUCCUUCUCAAGCUAGAUGGCUGCCCAAACUUAUGGGAUAUGACUACACAAUACUGUACAAACGCAUUAUCGGUUGCCAAGGCCUUCGUUGCUAACAUUGUGCGGUUACAUGGUAUGCCUCUCUCAAUUGUCAGUGAUCGUGACAGAGUCUUUCUCAGCAAUUUCUGGCGGUCCCUUUUCCAGUUGCACGGCACUGCUCUUUGUUACAGCUCCAGCUAUCAUCCUCAGUCGGAUGGCCAGACCGAGGUAAUAAAUCGUAUCCUUGAGCAGUAUCUUCGCUGCUACACAUAUGAUAAUCCAAAAAAAUGGUUGGAGUGGCUGCCAUGGGCUGAGUACAGUUACAAUACAUCAGUCCAUUCAUCAACAAAAAUGUCUCCUUUCGAAGCUGUAUAUGGUGUGUCUCCGCCUUCUAUGAUUUCGUAUAUACCAGGUACUGCCAAGGUUCAGGACGUGGAUGAUAUGUUGCGUUCAAGGGACGACAUUCUUCGUGAUCUUCGAAAGAAUUUGGUUGCUGCCCAAGUUCGGAUGAAGUGUCAGGCUGAUCGUCACAGACGAGAGGUUUCCUUUGAGGUAGGAGACUAUGUUUAUUUACGUCUCCAGCCGUAUCGUCAAACAUCUGUUGCGUUCCGGAGUUCGUUGAAAUUGUCUCCUCGAUUCUUUGGUCCCUUCAAAAUUAUGGCCAAGGUAGGGACUGUGGCAUAUCGGUUGGACUUGCCCGCGGGCGCACAAAUUCACAACGUGUUCCAUGUGAGUUUACUCAGGAAACAUUUUGGUCCGCUCGAAUUACCUAUCGUGUCAUUACCUCCUGUUUCGGCUGAUGUCCAAAUUUUACCAGAACCUGAAGUUAUUUUGGAUCGAAGGGUGGUUCAGAAAGGCAAGUAUAGACCAAAAACUGAAGUAUUGGUUCAAUGGAAGGGUGCUUGCCGUGACGAUGCAACAUGGGAGAACUUAUGGCGACUUUCCAAAUCAUAUCCAGAUUUUGACCUUGAGGACAAGGUCGCUCCAAGGGAGGGGGAAUGAUAUGAAUCACACGUGGAGUACAAGUUGAAUCACACCUGGAGCUACAUGUGAAGUGGACCAAGUCAGGUCAGGAGGAUUAUUUCAGUAAUUGUGAGUAAGGUGUCUGUUGCACUAGAAUCGGU
rnacentral:lncRNA from 1 species